CAGAGGCGAUGAAAGACGUAGUAACUUGCGAUAAGCCCAGAUUAGGUAGUAACAACCAUUUGAGUCUGGGAUUUCUGAAUGGGGAAACCCACUUACAUAAGUAAGUAUCAUUAACUGAAUACAUAGGUUAAUGAGGCGAACCGGGGGAACUGAAACAUCUAAGUACCCCGAGGAAAAGAAAUCAACCGAGAUUCCGAAAGUAGCGGCGAGCGAAAUUGGACUAGCCCUUAAGCUUUACACGCGUUAGACGAACGGUCUGGAAAGUCCGACGAUACAGGGUGAUAGUCCCGUAGUUGACGACGUGUGUUCAGUGAAAUCGAGUAGGGCGGGACACGUGAUAUCCUGUCUGAAUAUGGGGGGACCAUCCUCCAAGGCUAAAUACUACUGACUGACCGAUAGUGAACCAGUACCGUGAGGGAAAGGCGAAAAGAACCCCUGUGAGGGGAGUGAAAUAGAACCUGAAACCGUGUACGUACAAGCAGUAGGAGCAGGCUUGUCCUGUGACUGCGUACCUUUUGUAUAAUGGGUCAGCGACUUAUAUUCAGUGGCAAGGUUAACCAUCUAGGGGAGCCGUAGGGAAACCGAGUCUUAACUGGGCGUUCAGUCUCUGGAUAUAGACCCGAAACCAGGUGAUCUAGCCAUGGGCAGGUUGAAGGUUGAGUAACAUCAACUGGAGGACCGAACCGACUAAUGUUGAAAAAUUAGCGGAUGACUUGUGGCUAGGGGUGAAAGGCCAAUCAAACCUGGAGAUAGCUGGUUCUCCCCGAAAGCUAUUUAGGUAGCGCCUCGGACGAAUACUACUGGGGGUAGAGCACUGUUAAGGCUAGGGGGUCAUCCCGACUUACCAACCCUUUGCAAACUCCGAAUACCAGUAAGUACUAUCCGGGAGACACACGGCGGGUGCUAACGUCCGUCGUGGAGAGGGAAACAACCCAGACCGCCAGCUAAGGUCCCAAAUUACUACUAAGUGGGAAACGAUGUGGGAAGGCUCAGACAGCCAGGAUGUUGGCUUAGAAGCAGCCAUCAUUUAAAGAAAGCGUAAUAGCUCACUGGUCGAGUCGGCCUGCGCGGAAGAUGUAACGGGGCUAAGUAGUAAACCGAAGCUGCGGCAAUAUACUUUUGUAUAUUGGGUAGGGGAGCGUUCUGUAAGCGGUUGAAGGUGUGUGGUAACGCAUGCUGGACGUAUCAGAAGUGCGAAUGCUGACAUGAGUAACGAUAAAGGGGGUGAAAAACCUCCUCGCCGGAAGACCAAGGGUUCCUGUCCAACGUUAAUCGGGGCAGGGUAAGUCGACCCCUAAGGCGAGGCCGAAAGGCGUAGUCGAUGGGAAACGGGUUAAUAUUCCCGUACUUCUUACAAUUGCGAUGGGGGGACGGAGAAGGCUAGGUGGGCCUGGCGACGGUUGUCCAGGUUCAAGUGCGUAGGCUGAGAGAUUAGGUAAAUCCGGUUUCUCUUAAGGCUGAGACACGACGUCGAGCACCUACGGGUGUGAAGUCAUUGAUGCCAUGCUUCCAGGAAAAGCCUCUAAGCUUCAGAUUGUAAGGAAUCGUACCCCAAACCGACACAGGUGGUCGGGUAGAGAAUACCAAGGCGCUUGAGAGAACUCGGGUGAAGGAACUAGGCAAAAUGGUACCGUAACUUCGGGAGAAGGUACGCUCUCGACGGUGAAGUCCCUUGCGGAUGGAGCUAUUGAGAGUCGCAGAUACCAGGUGGCUGCAACUGUUUAUUAAAAACACAGCACUGUGCAAAAUCGUAAGAUGACGUAUACGGUGUGACGCCUGCCCGGUGCCGGAAGGUUAAUUGAUGGGGUUAGACUUCGGUCGAAGCUCUUGAUCGAAGCCCCGGUAAACGGCGGCCGUAACUAUAACGGUCCUAAGGUAGCGAAAUUCCUUGUCGGGUAAGUUCCGACCUGCACGAAUGGCGUAAUGAUGGCCACGCUGUCUCCACCCGAGACUCAGUGAAAUUGAAAUCGCUGUGAAGAUGCAGUGUACCCGCGGCUAGACGGAAAGACCCCGUGAACCUUUACUACAGCUUGGCACUGAACAUUGACCCUACAUGUGUAGGAUAGGUGGGAGGCUUUGAAGCAAGUACGCCAGUAUUUGUGGAGCCGUCCUUGAAAUACCACCCUUGUAGUGUUGAUGUUCUAACGUCGACCCCUAAUCGGGGUUGCGGACAGUGCCUGGUGGGUAGUUUGACUGGGGCGGUCUCCUCCCAAAGAGUAACGGAGGAGCACGAAGGUGGGCUAAUCACGGUUGGACAUCGUGAGGUUAGUGCAAUGGCAUAAGCCCGCUUGACUGCGAGAAUGACAAUUCGAGCAGGUGCGAAAGCAGGUCAUAGUGAUCCGGUGGUUCUGAAUGGAAGGGCCAUCGCUCAACGGAUAAAAGGUACUCCGGGGAUAACAGGCUGAUACCGCCCAAGAGUUCAUAUCGACGGCGGUGUUUGGCACCUCGAUGUCGGCUCAUCACAUCCUGGGGCUGAAGUCGGUCCCAAGGGUAUGGCUGUUCGCCAUUUAAAGUGGUACGCGAGCUGGGUUUAGAACGUCGUGAGACAGUUCGGUCCCUAUCUGCCGUGGGCGUUGGAAGAUUGAAGGGGGCUGCUCCUAGUACGAGAGGACCGGAGUGGACGAACCUCUGGUGUUCGGGUUGUGUCGCCAGACGCAUUGCCCGGUAGCUAAGUUCGGAAUCGAUAACCGCUGAAAGCAUCUAAGCGGGAAGCGAGCCCUGAGAUGAGUCUUCCCUGAUACUUUAAGUAUCCUAAAGGGUUGUCGGAGACUACGACGUUGAUAGGUCAGGUGUGUAAGUGCUGUGAGGCAUUGAGCUAACUGAUACUAAUUGCCCGUGAGGCUUAACCAUACAACACCCAAGGGGUUU
rnacentral:rRNA from 1 species